rnacentral:rRNA from 1 species
UACGGGGGGGGCAAGCGUUGUUCGGAAUUACUGGGCGUAAAGGACUCGUAGGCGGCCAACUAAGUCAGACGUGAAAUCCCUCGGCUUAACCGGGGAACUGCAUCUGAUACUGGAUGGCUUGAGAUUGGGAGAGGGAUGCGGAAUUCCAGGUGUAGCGGUGAAAUGCGUAGAUAUCUGGAGGAACACCGGUGGCGAAGGCGGCAUCCUGGACCAACACUGACGCUGAGGAGCGAAAGCAAGGGGAGCAAACAGG